CCUAAAAGGAGCUAGCUGCCAAAGGAAAAAUGUCAUUUGCAGAGGCUCAGCCCCAGCAUCAGAAAGCAGAGCAGGGAGGAGGGGAAAAUUGAGCCGAGAAACAAUGGUUUAACAACUAGCACCCCAGCAUGUGCCAGGAGCUCCGACCACGAGGCUGCCCAUUGAGGAUGUUUCCAGAGCCGUAGCAUUUCCUGGGGGAAAGAGAAGCAAAUGUAGCUUCUACAGGCCACCAGCGUUCAUUCCUUGGCUUAUGUCUCCUGCCAUCGUCAAAGCCAGCAAUGGCCACUUGAAUCUCUCCCUCCUCUGAUGCUCACUCUCCCGCCACCCACCCAGAUGAUCCAGGACGAUCUCCCAUCUCAAGGUUCUUGAGCACAUCUGCCAAUUCGCUUUGCCAUGAGGUGCAGAAGAUAAUGAAAUGGAUCAGACCCUGGUGAGCAGACAAGCAUACCAGGGGGGAACAGGUCCUGGUGAUAAGCCCCACCUCAGGUGAGAGGGGGCACGAAGUACCACGUGGGAAGAUGGAAUCCAGUGCCUGGAGCUCAUGGUCCAGACAGCCUCUGCAGAAGAACUGGUGCAGUGAUGUACAGCCAUGCUCAAAGUAUUUAAUAAACAUUUGACUACUUUCCUGUGUCUCUGGGUAUCCCAUGACCUGCAUGAAAAUUAAAACAACACGAUCCGCAAGUCGGUCUCAAGUGGUUGGCAGUGAUGAAUACAAACAGAACAGCUUACAACUCUGCUCUACAAUGGUUAGAAUCAUGGAAAACUGUAAAAAAAAAAAAAAGUAAAACGGGUACUAUGGAAGAUGAUAACUGUGAAAGACAAGGUAGAUACAAUCCAAAUAUACAUGGAGUCCAAAAGCGAAGUGGACAAGGAUGCUUCCUGCCUCCCACCGCUGCCUCCCGCACUUGAUGUAAAUGAAAAAUAAACAUCAGCGGUGUUGAGUCGCAAGAGGGACCAAUUCACCGCCCUCCACUCCUUUUUUAUUUACUCUAGGUUCUCAUAGAAACCACCCUUUUCCACUUACGUUAUUUUUACACAUCUUCAAAAUAGGUGUUUGAAAGAACAGUUAUAUUUCAAAUGAAAUAAUUGGUUUCACUGUGCAUUAUUUAUGCAUUUCUGUAGUCAGAAUUUCUCCUUUUAACACUCGUCAAUCUAGAUGAAGCCCUCCAAUGAUUUCAACAGAAGAACUAUUUGAGUUGUAUAUUUCUGAAAAUUUUCAGGCCUUAGAAUGUCUUUCAUGAAAAAAUAAUAGGUUGACGGGACAUAGCCACUUUGUGUCACUCUCUUUUUCUUUAAGGAUUUUGCAAAUAGAAUUCACUGGCUUCUGACACUGUAAGUUGUAGUAGAGGAAUGUGAAAUUAUCCUAAUUCGGGCCCAUUGGAAUUUUUUGUAUGGGUAAUACAUCUUCAAGAGAUAAAUGCAUAGCCGAGAGAUGGUGGAUAGAUAUUGUGAAAUAUCUAUGUCCCCCAAUCCUAUUUCUCAUCCACCCAUUUCCCACCCCCACCUCACCACAGGUAAUGACUAUGACUGUCUCUAGCUCAGAGAAAUAACUACUAGAAGAAGCUUCUUAUGCACCAACAAGGAAACAUAAAUUUAUAUUCUUAGUCCCCCCCUUUACAAAACAGGUAGGAGGGGAAGGAGUAAAGAUAAUUAUUGUAAUUUGGUUGGAGUGAAAGCAGGGUGCAGAAGACACAAAAAGAGGUAUAUAAGCUCUCAGAUUAAGCUAAUGAUUAACGAAAAAGCAUGAAGGAAGUAAGAAAAUCCAAAAAGGACCUAACUCCUUAUCUACCAUAAAAGAAAGUCUGAAGUUGUGCUGGAAUGGAUAGAUAUAAAUUGAUGGUUAUGGUACUCUGAAUAUUUAUGGAAGGUCUGAAUUUAAUGAUGAGUAAUGUUAAAACAGACUAUUUACGCUCUAAAUCAUACUAGAAUAAAAAAGAAACUAAUGUUGCUCAUAUAUCAAAAAUCCAUAAUAGAAAAGGGACCUUAAGGAAAAAUAAUGUUUAAAAGCAUAAACUAGGUAGGCAGACCUAGUUUUGCAACAAUCAUCAUGCUAUCCACUUUGAAAUAGUGGUUUGAUAAAUUAUAGUUUAUUGGCCCUUUGGAAGGUGGUGAAGAUAAAGGAAAUAAUCUUUGUGAGGGCUGAGGGGUGAUGAGAAAAAGCAUUGAAGACGUGAAGUAAAGUAAAAAGCUAUAUGCUUUGUACAUUGCAGUUAUGAAAUAAAUCUGGACAGAUGGAGGGCCAUGUGGCAGGCUGGUGUUGAAAUUACAGGAUUUAUUUUUG